rnacentral:rRNA from 1 species
GAUGAACGCUGGCGGCGUGCCUAAUACAUGCAAGUCGAGCGAACAGAUGAGGAGCUUGCUCCUCUGACGUUAGCGGCGGACGGGUGAGUAACACGUGGAUAACCUACCUAUAAGACUGGGAUAACUUCGGGAAACCGGAGCUAAUACCGGAUAAUAUAUUGAACCGCAUGGUUCAAUAGUGAAAGACGGUUUUGCUGUCACUUAUAGAUGGAUCCGCGCCGCAUUAGCUAGUUGGUAAGGUAACGGCUUACCAAGGCAACGAUGCGUAGCCGACCUGAGAGGGUGAUCGGCCACACUGGAACUGGGACACGGUCCAGACUCCUGCGGGAGGCAGCAGUAGGGAAUCUUCCGCAAUGGGCGAAAGCCUGACGGAGCAACGCCGCGUGAGUGAUGAAGGUCUUCGGAUCGUAAAGCUCUGUUAUUAGGGAAGAACAAAUGUGUAAGUAACUAUGCACGUCUUGACGGUACCUAAUCAGAAAGCCACGGCUAACUACGUG